GUGCUCGCUUCAGCAGCACAUGUAUUAAAAAUUGGAAUGAUACAGAGAAGAUUAGCAUGGCCCCUGUGCAAGGAUGACACGCAAAUUCAUGAAGCAUUCCAUAUUUUU
ensembl:snRNA U6 U6 spliceosomal RNA